UACAGAGGGUGCGAGCGUUGUCCGGAAUCACUGGGCGUAAAGGGCGCGUAGGCGGUUUGAUAAGUCUUGUGUGAAAUCUAUGGGCUCAACCCAUAGUCUGCACAGGAAACUGUCGGGCUUGAGAGUGGGAGAGGUGAGUGGAAUUUCCGGUGUAGCGGUGAAAUGCGUAGAUAUCGGAAGGAACACCUGUGGCGAAAGCGGCUCACUGGACCAUUUCUGACGCUGAUGCACGAAAGCUAGGGGAGCAAACAGG
rnacentral:rRNA from 1 species